rnacentral:rRNA from 1 species
CCUACGGGUGGCAGCAGUGGGGAAUUUUGGACAAUGGGGGCAACCCUGAUCCAGCCAUCCCGCGUGUGCGAUGAAGGCCUUCGGGUUGUAAAGCACUUUUGGCAGGAAAGAAACGGCAUGGGUUAAUACCCCGUGAAACUGACGGUACCUGCAGAAUAAGCACCGGCUAACUACGUGCCAGCAGCCGCGGUAAUACGUAGGGUGCAAGCGUUAAUCGGAAUUACUGGGCGUAAAGCGUGCGCAGGCGGUUUUGUAAGUCUGACGUGAAAUCCCCGGGCUCAACCUGGGAAUUGCGAUGGAGACUGCAAGGCUUGAAUCUGGCAGAGGGGGGUAGAAUUCCACGUGUAGCAGUGAAAUGCGUAGAGAUGUGGAGGAACACCGAUGGCGAAGGCAGCCCCCUGGGUCAAGACUGACGCUCAUGCACGAAAGCGUGGGGAGCAAACAGGAUUAGAUACCCUUGUAGUC